GAACUCCAGGUGAGUGGGCAGUUUUGUUUUCCGUAUAUAUAUAUAUACUUAACGUUUUCCCAGAAAUUGAAAAUGCAUGAAAUUAUGUUUAAAAUGAAAUGCAUAUGAGUUAUGUGGAAAAACGGGGAAGUGAAAUACCAUGCAUAGAAUUGAUAUGAAAAGUAUAUAGAAAUGUGAGUUGAAAUGCCAUGCAUGAAUUAAUAUAUGAUGCAUAUGUAUGAAUUGGUGCGGUGGACGCACAGGUAAGAAUUGAUUUAUGACGCAUAUGUAUGAAUUGGUGCGGUGGACGCACAGGUAAGAAUUGAUUUAUGAUGCAUAUGUAUGAAAUGGUGCGGUGGACGCACAGAUGAGUAUUUAAUUACUGUUAUGAUGAUGAUGAUAUAUAUUGAGCUCAAAUCCUGCACCAUGGUUUAGUGCUUAUAGUAUUCACCGCAUCGCACGCUCGCCUUGGAUCCAAGUAGAUGCUAGUCGUACAGUCCACGCGGAGUGGGUACGACAGACCAGUCGCGAGAGUGUUAGUGAGAUUCCGACUGGUGGGUGACCUUAGAUUAUGUGCACAGAUGAUUUAUGAGAAGCACUAGAGCGUAACUUGUGUGCAGAAGGCCGGACGGGUCACAGAGGUGACUCCGGUAGAGUGAUAAUGAUAGAUUUUGAGCUCUAGGUUCAACCGUAUAGGGCUAUUAGAGGGCCUACGGUUGAUUACUUUCUUGCACCUGAUAUGAUUAUGUUGAUGCAUUCAUACCUUAUUACUGUUGAGAUGAUGUGGCAUGGCAUAAUUAAUAUGAGAAAUGUUGAAGAUGACAUGGCAUGGCAUGAUUGAUAAAGAGAUAAUGUUGAGAUAGUUAAAAUGAAGUUUUGAGAAUAUAUAUGUAUAUUUAUAUUUUACAUUUCUGGGAAAGUAUACAGGUUUUACGGAGAGGGGUUACAACGUUUUGAGAAAUGUUUGGAUUUGGAAAAGAAUUGUUUUACUGACCCACUCAAUUUUGGUUUUGCGCCCCUCCAGGUUCAGGAAUCACAAAGGUGUGGUGACUACGAGGAAUUCGACGGUGUUCUGACAGAUUGGACAAAAUUAGGACUCACCUUCGGGUGUAUCAACUUAUAAAUUGUAUAAUUAAAGCUUCCGUACUGUGCAAAUGGUUACGUCACUCUCACGUGACGGCCAGCAUGCCCUCCUUCGGGACGGGGGGUG
rnacentral:lncRNA from 1 species